rnacentral:rRNA from 1 species
GACGAACGCUGGCGGCGUGCUUAACACAUGCAAGUCGAGCGGAAAGGCUCCUUCGGGGGUACUCGAGCGGCGAACGGGUGAGUAACACGUGAGUAAUCUGCCCUUGGCUUCGGGAUAACUACCGGAAACGGUGGCUAAUACCGGAUAUGACCACUCCUUGCAUGAGGUGGUGGUGGAAAGUUUUUUCGGCCAGGGAUGUGCUCGCGGCCUAUCAGCUUGUUGGUGGGGUAAUGGCCUACCAAGGCUUCGACGGGUAGCCGGCCUGAGAGGGUGACCGGCCACACUGGGACUGAGACACGGGCCCAGACUCCUACGGGAGGCAGCAGUGGGGAAUAUUGGACAAUGGGCGGAAGCCUGAUCCAGCAACGCCGCGUGAGGGAUGACGGCCU